AGAGUUUGAUCCUGGCUCAGGAUGAACGCUGGCGGCGUGCCUAACACAUGCAAGUCGAGCGAUUCACUUCGGUGAAGAGCGGCGGACGGGUGAGUAACGCGUGGGUAACCUGCCUCAUACACAUGGAUAACAUACCGAAAGGUAUGCUAAUACAAGAUGAUAUAAGAGAUUCGCAUGGAUUUCUUAUCAAAGCUCCGGCGGUAUGAGAUGGACCCGCGUCUGAUUAGCUAGUUGGUAAGGUAACGGCUUACCAAGGCGACGAUCAGUAGCCGACCUGAGAGGGUGAUCGGCCACAUUGGAACUGAGACACGGUCCAAACUCCUACGGGAGGCAGCAGUGGGGAAUAUUGCACAAUGGGCGAAAGCCUGAUGCAGCAACGCCGCGUGGGCGAUGAAGGCCUUCGGGUCGUAAAGCUCUGUCCUCAAGGAAGAUAAUGACGGUACUUGAGGAGGAAGCCCCGGCUAACUACGUGCCAGCAGCCGCGGUAAUACGUAGGGGGCUAGCGUUAUCCGGAUUUACUGGGCGUAAAGGGUGCGUAGGUGGUUUCUUAAGUCAGGAGUGAAAGGCUACGGCUUAACCGUAGUAAGCUCUUGAAACUGGGAAACUUGAGUGCAGGAGAGGAAAGUGGAAUUCCUAGUGUAGCGGUGAAAUGCGUAGAUAUUAGGAGGAACACCAGUAGCGAAGGCGGCUUUCUGGACUGUAACUGACACUGAGGCACGAAAGCGUGGGGAGCAAACAGGAUUAGAUACCCUGGUAGUCCACGCCGUAAACGAUGAGUACUAGGUGUCGGGGGUUACCCCCCUCGGUGCCGCAGCUAACGCAUUAAGUACUCCGCCUGGGGAGUACGCUCGCAAGAGUGAAACUCAAAGGAAUUGACGG
rnacentral:rRNA from 1 species